GAUGAAGAACGUAGCGAAAUGCGAUAAGUAAUGUGAAUUGCAGAAUUCAGUGAAUCAUCGAAUCUUUGAACGCACCUUGCGCCCUUUGGCCAUUCCGAAGGGCAUGCCUGUUUGAGUAUCAUGAACACCUCAACUCUUCAUGGUUUUCCAUGAUGAGCUUGGACUUUGGGGGUCUUGCUGGCCUGUGGGUCGGCUCCUCUCAAAUGAAUCAGCUUGCCAGUUUUUGGUGGGCAUCACAGGUGUGAUAACUAUCUACGCUUGUGGUUUUCCACCAGGGUAACCUUCAGCAGUGGAGGUUCACUGGAGCUUACAAAUGUCUCUCCUCUGUGAGGACAGCCCUUUGAAUGUUUGAUCUCAAAUCAGGUAGGACUACCCGCUGAACUUAAGCAUAUCAAUAAGCGGAGGA
rnacentral:misc_RNA from 1 species